rnacentral:lncRNA from 1 species
CAACACAAUAUUUUUCUUAUAAAAUGAUUUUACCCCCAAAGUUAUUUUUAAUUUGGUCUUGCAGCAUUUGAUUGGAUUUGAAGAAAGAAAUAAUAGGAACGCAAAAGUAAAUUGCUUUUUCAUCCACCAAAUAGUACUGAAAAACUCUCUAGCACCUUAAUCUCGCCAGAAACAUCAUUUUUUCCCCACCUAUUCAACAUUAGAGGGUGCUCAAUCCUGGCACAGUGCAAAUUAUAAUUCUUUGUAAAAGGGGAUCCCAUUAAGCACAUGAAAUCCUUUCAUGCCCACCCGCAUUACAUGUAUAUUUAUACAUUUAUAUACAAACACAAUCGCGUUCUCCCUGCAUGCAUUGAACAACUUCUUGUAAUGUAAAAUUGUGCUGUGAAUCCGAUCCCCCUCUUGCAAAGUGAGUUGUCAAAGCCUUUUGCAUUGCAGGAACUUUUUGCUUACAAUGGACAUUCAAGCAUUUUUGGCAGUCUUACAUUCUUACCUAAUCUCUAUCCCUCCCUCCCUCUCUCCCAAAAAUGGCUCAUAGGAACUUAAAAUGUACGCCAUUUUUGGGCCUUUAUUUGAAAUGGUUUUCUGGGAAGCUAUUGUACUGCUAUUGUGCAACGAAACAAUAGACAAUGCGUUGAAAAUAAUUUACAGGAAAAUUAAUUAUUUACAGGAAAAUAUUUUACAGCACAACAAAUGGAGCCGAAAUGCCUGUAAGCUGAAGAUGGAAAUGGAAGUAUUGUAGAUUUCUUUUUAGUCAAUUAGUCUCUUAUGCUUUCCUUCAGUCUAGUGAUUUGUUGUAUUUUGUUUUUACAGGUAUAUUACUCCGAUGAGGAUUCGAAAGUUUAACAAAGAAAUUACUAUUGACUUAUUCGAAGCGAAUUAUUAAACCUUGCCGAAGCAGUACAAUGUUCAUGGCUAAGCGAUGAUGCUGGAAAGGAAUAGUCUGUAUAGGUAACAUUGUCCAUUAUGAUUGGGCUAAAGUGACAAACUAAAUCGUUGGCCUAUAAGUGCAGAGCUACGCUGAGUUUGCCAUUUCCCUCAUUCAAAAAAAGUAUGAUAAUGAUUUCCAAGUAAUAUGAAAAUCAUAAUCGCGUUGCGGGAUGCGAUGGCAAAGGUUUGUUCCUAUUCAUUUUGUUUGAUAUCUAGGUGGAUAAAUGUGAUUGUACCGGGUUUUGAUCAAGUUCUUACAUGUAGCUGCGGCAAGGCCUGGUUCUCUGAAGUCAUAAAACAGCUGGUUGGUUUCCCAGGAAUCCUUUGCUUUUUUUUUUGCAGGUCUUCUGUUGGGAAAGGAGGAUAACACCAGACAACUUUGAGAGAAAAAAGGUUACCAAAAUAUUAGUCUUAUCUCCUUUGGAGUGUCGAACAUUCUUUGGGCCUAAACACUUUUAAUUCUGCUUGCACAACCAGAUGCUGAUGGUUUUCCUUUCCGAUUUCCUUUCUGCUCAACGUGCUAUCGGUCUUCCAUAGCUUUAGGAAUUGUAUAUGUUUUAUCUGUUAGCUGUGGUUUAAGAUUGGACGUUAUUGCAUUAAUGUGUCAAGUGGCUUUCAUUUCAUUGUGUUGUCUCAAUAUUUUAUUGUCCAUAUAGUCAUUGCCGAUUAUGUUGUAGUAGUGCCAUUCAAAUAUCUACAGCAUGUUAUUGACUGGUGGCCUCAUAAAAGUCUGACCAUGCUCAUUUUUCUUUCUUCAAUUCAAUUAAAGAAUGGAAACACACUCCUUCAGCUCAAUUAUGCCAAUUAAUAAUAGAAUAGGAAGAGAUGAUCUCAUACAUGUACAGUGAAGAUUUGGGAAUAUUCAAAAUCGGUCUCUUUUGGCUAGAAUGAUCUCCCAUAGUAUUGAUAUACUCUCUGUUCCGGAUAAACCUAUUGUCAUGCUAAUAACAUUGUUUGACCGUCAUUAGGUUAUGCUUAGCAUCCUAAAAUUUUGAUCAAGAUAGAAGUCAACAGUGGUGGUUGGAGUGGAAAGAAGUGUCCAAUGGCUAUAAAUCUUAUGGGUUUGUUAAAGUUCGAGCUUCAGACCAUAAUACUUUUUUAAUAACAGAAGUAUGACCCGUACCAGUAGUUUAUAACCUGACAUUACAUGUGAUUGGAUUUGCAACAUUUGAUUGACUAUGUGUAAGUCCUCAGCAAACGUCCGUAGACGAAUUUCUCAAAUUAUUUGUCGAUGUCAUCUGGAUUUCUGUUGUAACAUUGAUAGAAUAGAAUUGUUGUUCCAACAUGAUAGAAGUGUCCACAAAUAUAUGAAUGGGUAAGAAGCAAAAAGGGCUACCAUGGCAAAAUAAAUUGGUAGUAGUAAUCAUUUAAAAAAUGUUGGAAAUCUAUUGUAGGAUUUGGUCUUCCUUUUGCGUCAUGAGCAUUGGUGUAUAGGCUAAUAAUUGGACUCGUGAGAAAGUGAGAAAGUAAUGGUAAAUCGGACGCUAUGUUUAUUUUUGUUUUAUCUGGAUUUGCUCUGGCACUCUCUUGCUUGUUUGCAAAAGAUUAUGUAAGCUGUUUUUGUAUUAGAUGGUAGAUAUACAUUAUUGACCCUUUAUCUAAAAUCUAUGUUUUGAAUAAAAUUGGUGUUAACAUGGUUUUCAGAGCUUUGAUUUUUGUGAGGUAUCAAGUGCUAGUACUAUGUAUGCAUUUUUUUUUGGUUCCCAUUCUUCUUCUCACUCAAUGGAUUGCAUUUCACGUGCUAGACGGGGUUUUUGCGCCGUGAGAGGGGGUUUUGGAUAGCUUGAUAUCAUGUUGGCUAUUUCCCAACACCUUGAGCUUUCGGCAUUAUGCUGACUUGCAGUUGUACAAUAUGACUGUGUGUAAUGCCUUUUUUUCCUUCUGUUUUUUUAUUUAUUUUAGUCAGUUGUGAAGUAUGGUACAUAUAAUAAUAGUAGAAUUAGAAGUAAUUAUAGCAAAGGAAUUUUAAAAUUCGAACCAUGAGAUAUCAAAAAGUAAGAUUUUAAAAUAUUUGACUUCAAUAAUUUACAAGGAGGAUUAGAUACGGAUGUUGUAACCCAUAUUAUAAUUUAUGAGUUUGGAUCAAUGGCGGGGUGCUGAUGGUGUAUUAUGUAAUCGGCAUAGACCUACAAAAUUGAAAAGAAAGUUUUAUAAAAACAGUAAAAGCCAACCAAUGAUUAUGUGACAGAAUGUUGGGCAAGUAACAAUCAACACACAAGUAAAAUGAGUGCAGCUCAAAUGAGGAUGUUAAGGCGGAUGUGUGACAAGAUUAGGCGAAAUAAAAUUUGAAAUGUUAGCGAAAUGGUGAGAGUAGCACCAAUUGGAGACAAGUUGAGAUUAAAUGGACUCAAAUUUGGUCACGUAAGAGGCGAUAGUAAAGAGGGAUAAGAUUAUUGUAAUGGAUUGUUUCGACACUGUAUUCAUCUUUAUGAGAAAUACAGUUCCGAAAUCUCCAAAAGUGUGUCUAGAAUUGUGAAAAAAUUAUAUUUACUUAGUAUAUUGUAUCCAACCUAGAAUCAGAAAAGUUACCAGCAAUAAUUUCUUUUGAAUCUUUGAUUAUGCCCUUUGGCGGCUUCCAAGUAGACACUUCCACAUCUUUGUCAUUUGUUUGUUUUUCUCCACAGCCUAUCAGAAUAUUUGCAAUAUAUUUGUUUAUAUAUGCAAAAUGUGGUAGGUUUUCCUUUUGUAUUUGUUUUUUUGUUUCAUCAUCAUUAUUAUUUUAUUGUCCUUUUUUGGUUUGGGAGAGGGGGGUAGGUGCAUUAUGUUUGGGACAAAUUCUUUUCUGUAAUUUGAUUGAACGCUGGAAGAACUAAAUACGUUGUACUUGUAAUAGUAUGUUUCUUACGAAUUGGAACAUGCUUUUCUGUAGGUUUCCGUGCUGUUUGCGGAAUGGUACAGGAUCUGUGAAACUUCUGGGACAAAUGAUGCAGCUUUGUGCCAUUAAUUUAUGUAAUUGCAGCCAAGUGGAUUGCGGGAAAGGGGGAUUGAAUAUUUGAGAUCGAUUUUUUUCGCUGCCUCAGUGGAGUUUUUUCUUCUCUGAAGCUAUAUGUCUGGUAUUGGAUUUCUGAUUUUUGAUUUGACCCUCUUCAUCUCAGGAACAUAUGUGUAGCAUUGCCUGUCAUCUGAGGUCAUUAGUUCUGGGCCUCUGUAAUCACCUCACAAGUCCAUCCUCUCUCUUCCUGGAUAUUGAUAUCUAUGCAAAACUUGUUUUUUCCGAUCCUAAAGGUAGGUGUAUUUUCCUCUAGAGAUUAUAGUACAUGGCUUCUUUUUCCUGAUUAUUUUUCUUUAUGGCACUUAUUAGUUUUAUUUUUUCUAGCCAUUCCCAUGGAUCGGGAUCAAGGCAAACUCUAUAUUCUGCCAAGGUUUGAUCCCAAACUAAAAUUGGUAAAUCAAUUAUUAUAUGCUUAACUAGAACGGGCUAUCAAGAAGUGUUGCUAUUCACCAAGUGUUUUGUAUUUGACUCGGUUCUGGCAGUAAGCGUGAGAUUUAUUUAGAAGAACGCAGAGGAGAGGAAAGUAUUUUUUAAUGCAAGGCCAUUAUUCAGGUUGUUCAUUAAACUGCCUGCUUGAUGUGGGUUCCAGGGACCCGUUCUUUGAUGGUGCAAACUUUCAGGUCUGGUUUCUCAGUUUUUGCCUUGUUGUAGUCUCCACCCCCAAUUAACUAACUAAUAUGGUUGUGUGCAGAUUUUGAUAGCUUUUGGAAAUGCAUUUCAUGGUGGCUUCCCUUAAAGUCGGAAUCAGGUCUGUUAUACUUGCUUCAUUAUCUUUACGGAAUGUUUUAAUGCAGUUUUCACAACAGAGACCGAAUCUUAAGUUUGGGGGUGAGUAAUAUUAUUCUUGUAUAUGCUUAUGCAGCUGUGUUAUAUUUGCUGCUUUUGUGAGUCAAGUUCUUUUGCUUAAAUUGCCAACUGUAGUUUUCUGAAUAACUGUAUGUGCACAUGUUGAUUACAUAGCUUUGUCUUUGCAUCGAGUUCACUAGUUAGACUCAUAUCAUUUUUGUCUGUUCCUUGUAUUUUGUUGCAGCAGAUGUAUAUUUCAAAAAUUUCAAGAACCAGGUUGUAGCAUAUUCGUAGG